AAUUUGAUUGAGAUUACACUCUGUUGCAUUUCAAUGUGUUACGAAUGUAUAUAAUUAUUUAAAAAAAUAUAUAUUCUAAUUACUGUACUUGUUAGUAACUCUCCCAUUACAGGUUUGGUUCAAUCAGGUAUAUUUUACUCUUUAACCCUUACCCUAAUGUUAUAGUCAUGAUUGAAAAAACCUUCUUUUCUUUAUAUUUAAGAUAUACCGGUACUUUCUAUGGAAUAAAGGACCUUUUUGCUAUUGUGAGGGGAGUUCUAUAAUUUUAUGUUAAUAAUGAAUGACGUUCUUUCUUACUUCCACGUUAAUAAUAAUGACAUCUUGUAAGGCGCACAUAUCCAUCUUAGUGAGCUGCUCUCGGCGCCAUUUGCAGCUCUUUUUGAAUUUUCCUAUAUUUUAUUUAAUUUAUUUUUGUUGAAAUAAUAUUUCUUAUGUAAAUAUUUAUUAUCAACUUAAUUAGUGAGGAAAAUCAGGCAAAGACAAGUGCAAAAAUCUCCCCCAGGGGUCAUUAAUCCAUCAUCCAAUUUGUAUAACUUACAUUUUCUCCUAAUUAUAUAAUACGCAUUACUAACAGAGCCUCCUGCGGGCCCAGAGGAUAUACAGGCAAUAAUAAGCCAAAAUGCAACAAACGAUAUUCCAGGAGAAAUUGAUGUUAGCUUCGGUAAACAAAGAGGAGGAGUAAUUAUACAUUACAAGGUACAAAUCAUUGAUGGCGACGGAGAUGUACUUGGAAAUACCACCACAGUUGGUAUGUUACCUGCAACUGUGACAGGUGGAUUCCCUUGUGAAUCUGUAACACCACAAGUGGCAGCAUGCACAUCAGCAGGAUGUGGUUUAUUUGCAAGUGGUCCCAACAUUACGAUGAAUCCUGCAGCUCCUGGUGAAGUAUCUGUGAAUGUAAAAGGUGUGCCAUCGAGAUCGAAAAAACUGUCCAUAUCUUGGUCAGCACCUGAGGUGGUCCAUUGCCCAAUAGUUGAGUACAAGAUAGAAUAUAAACUUACCCAUCUUGAUCAGUGUCAGGACCAAAGUAAUGAAUUUGAAGUCAAGAUUGUGAACCAUACAAAAACACAAGACAUCUUAACAAAACUUAUACCAUUUAGUACUUAUGACGUAGUCGUUUCAGCUGGAGUAGAUGGUAUGAAUGGUAAAACAAUUUUCACUCCUGGUCGGACUGGUUUUGGGCUCACAACAUCAGCAGAUGCUACUGCACCACCAAAUAAUAUAAUUAACCACAAAACAGAGGAUGCACGAUCACUGAAUUAUACAUGGGAAGAAAUUCCAUGUGGUCAUAGGAGAGGUGCUGUAGAAAGGUACAACUAUAAUCUAAAAAUAGGUUCCCGUAUUGUAAGACAAGGUGUUGUCAGGCCCAGAACUGUGAGGAUCAGAGGCCUGGUUCCUUGUACCUCAUACACAUUCAUGGUGAGUGGCAGAGGCCCUAAAGCCCAAAGCAGUGACAGUAUUAAAUCAAGAACAAAUGUUGAAGUCCCAGAGAGCGUAGAAAAUAUCACCGUCCUUGAAACUACCUUGGUAUGGGACAGACCUCCACCUUUGACUUGUGACAUUUUGAAAUAUCACAUUCACGCAAUUUUGAUUGAAAAGGAUCAGUGUCAACAAGUUGGUAGAAAUGAAUAUUUUACAGUAGAAGAUGCUGAGGUAAAUUUGUUAAUUUUGAAACCACAUUCAAGGUAUCGCGUCACUAUCAGCGCUGAAACAGAUGCAGGGCUUGGUCCGGCAACUGCUCUGGAAUUUAUAACGCCUCAAAAAGUUCCUAAACGUGGCCCAAAAGAAGUUAAUGUUACCGCUGUGUCAGCCACAGGAGCCAGUUUUGCAUGGUCUCAAGUAGAGUGUGGUUAUAGAAGAGGUCUAGUCAUAGGCUACAAAUUCAGCUUGCAAAAUGCAGAUGGCCACGAACUUUUCAGUAACGUUGUGACAACUGAGCUUCAGUGCGAAUUUGACGACCUAAAGCCAUUUACUGAAUACGUUUUCAGUGUAAAGGCUUUCAAUUCUAAAGGUGAUGGAAUAAGCAAAGAAUUACAUAUAACAACAGACGAAUCAAAUUCCAUAAUUCUAAGAAAAAAAAGAAGACGGAGCAUUCCAAGGUGAUAAAGUUGGAAUCACUUUGUGAGGAUUCAGCUUAUGAAGAGUUACACACGUACAUGUCAAUAGAGGAAGUAUACAGUAACCUGCCGUUGUAGUUUAAUAAUACCAGGCCUAAAGGUUCUACUAAAACAGAAGAGCAAGAUAACACAAAAGUUAAGUUUGACAUUUUUCUGUCAUGUUGAAAUUCAAGAUGGCCGCUUUCAAAAUGUUAAAAAUUCGAAUAUUUCAGUAUAAUUCCACAUCUCCUUUAUGUAAAGAGGUAAAUUUUGAUGUAAUCUUUUGUUUUUGGGCUCUUUGAAGAGCCCAAAAAAACAUAGUUUCAAAAGCUAGGAUGGCAGCCAUUUUGAAAUUCAAAUUCAAGAUAUAAGCCGCCACAAAAUCCUUAAAAAUCAAAUAUUUUGGUAUGUAAUUUCAUUUCUCUUCGAUGAAAAAUGCUAAAUUUGGUGUUUAAACAUAUGUUAUUGGGCUCGCUGAGUCCAAUAUACAUGGUUUCAUAAAUCUAGGAUGGCAACCAUUUUAAAAUUCAAGAUGGCCACUAUAAAAACCAUCGAGAAUUGAA
rnacentral:misc_RNA from 1 species